rnacentral:rRNA from 1 species
AACGAACGCUGGCGGCAGGCUUAACACAUGCAAGUCGAGCGCCCCGCAAGGGGAGCGGCAGACGGGUGAGUAACGCGUGGGAACCUAUCCUUUUCUACGGAAUAACGCAUGGAAACGUGUGCUAAUACCGUAUACGCCCUGAGGGGGAAAGAUUUAUCGGAGAAGGGAGGGCCCGCGUUGGAUUAGCUAGUUGGUGGGGUAAAGGCCUACCAAGGCGACGAUCCAUAGCUGGUCUGAGAGGAUGAUCAGCCACAUUGGGACUGAGACACGGCCCAAACUCCUACGGGAGGCAGCAGUGGGGAAUAUUGGACAAUGGGCGCAAGCCUGAUCCAGCCAUGCCGCGUGAGUGAUGAAGGCCCUAGGGUUGUAAAGCUCUUUCACCGGAGAAGAUAAUGACGGUAUCCGGAGAAGAAGCCCCGGCUAACUUCGUGCCAGCCGCCGCAGUAA